AUGCAGAAAAUGGAAGAAAGGCUUCGUACCUUUAUGUGGACUGGGAAGGGCGCUGCUAGUAGGAAGAGUUUGGUGGCUUGGAACCAAGUCUGCAAACUUGUGAAACAAGGUCUGGAGGUUCCUUGGUGCAAGCUGUUUAGCUUUAAUGUUGCUAGACCGCGGGCUAAAGUGUUGUUGUGGUUAGAUUGUCAUAGAAAAUUGGCCACUAAAAGUAGGCUGGUCAGAUUUGGGUUUAUGAGUGACAGUGUGUGCGUUUUCUGCGGUGCAGAGGAAACAAUUGAUCAUAUCUUCUUUGAUUGCCAGCAUCUGCAAAAAAAUUGGUCUUCUAUCUUGGAUUAG